GAUCACACUCCGGGUGUGCACUAGUCUCAAGCCCUGAAUACCACGUGCAGUUUGUCCGCUGGACUUGAUCAAGGUCUCUUUCUCUGCCCUCAAAGCCUACUUGGUGUUAGUGCUGUACGAGGGUUUAAAGGUUCUCCAUGCCUUCUCUGGCCCUUCCCUUUUCAUCUUUUCCAACAGUGCCCUAAUGGAUAACCUGCAUGUAUUUUGGCAGAUGACUCUUCGAGGACCCAAACUAACACAAACACUGCUGGAAGAGUUCUGGGACGUGGUGCUGUGUUCGCCAACACUACUUAGCCUCACUCUGAGUGAUGGUUAACUGGUAACUGUAGUCUGGGAGGGUGCUUUAAAGGAGAAAGCACAGAUUGGUUGACUUGAACACAGAAUGGUUAUAGUUCUAGAGGUUAUACAUCUAAGAUCAAAACGGAGGCAAGGUUGGCCUCUGCUGGGGCUUCUCUAAGUUUCUCGAGUGGCGCCUUCCUGGAGCUUUUCUCACAUCUCCUGGUAGCUUCUCUCGGGGCAUGCAAGCCCCUGGCAGCUUUUCUUCCCAUAAGGACGGAAGUAUUCAUAGCUUUGGAUCCACUUUUAUGAUCACAUUUAGCCAUAAUUUGAUCCUCGAAGUCCCUGUUUCUAAACUGUAAUACGGGGGAUAGGACUUCAGCACAUGAAUAUGGAGGGAACCCAUUCACUCCCUCAUAGUUUGUCACAGUUUGAAGGGUUUCCCUGUUGUCAUUCAGCUUACUGGUUCUUUUUUUUUUUUUUUUUUUUUUUGAUCAGCGUAUUCUUUGUCUUUCAAAAUUAUUCCUGGUCCCCGCCCCACAAAAUCAUUCCUCGUGCUUGUACAAACCCUGCUUCCUCUCUCUUCCCUGCUUCAGAAGUAACCCCUGAUCUUGCCAUAGUCAAAAGCAAAUGUGUGCCCAUUAAAGUAGUUCCCAGGCACUUUUUUAGAUUUUUGCAUUGAUCAGGUACAGAGUCAAUAUUUCCAAAAGGUGGAAAUAGCCAACAAACAGAAGAAAUCCUGUCCAUAAAUUUCAACGUGUGACAACUACUGCCACCUGUUGGUAGCAACAGUAAUGACACUGUCAACAGAAGCAGCAAAGAAGCAAAACCGAGUAGGAAGGAUGUUCCACGAUGCCUCGGUUUCACAGUCAAACAAAGGACAGGAAGAAGAGCUCAGUGAAUAGAUUCCCAUCAAGUUUGCAAAGUCUUGGCCUUACGUGAUGCAGUAAUGAGACAGGGUGAUUUAGACAGCUGACAUCCACGAUGCUAGCCUGGUGCCUCCUUGGAGUUUGUUUUUACUCUGGUCUCUUUCAAGGCUCCUAGAUCUUUUUGGUAUUAUGUGGGGAGGUUCUGUCAGGCGAUGGCUAAAUUAACUCUUGAUGAAAAUGCAUAGUAGGAGAAUUGAGCACAAGCUGUGUUCUCAACGGCAGAUCUUUCUGAUCUUGAACAAGAAAGCCCUGGCUUCUUCUGGGCUAGCCUGCCUUUGCUCACUACACACAGUUCCAGAAGCUAGUGACAGUCAUGAUUUCUUCCUUGAGCCAAGCCAUCAACAUAUAUAUGAAGGAGAGGCCUCUUGGCACCAAUCAGUAAGUCCAGUGGGAUGUGGUGUCAUGUGACUACAAUACCAGCACUGGAGAGAUGGAGACAAAAGGAUCAGGAGUUCAACCUCAUGUAGCUUCAGAUGGGAGCAGAGGCAGUUGAACACAUGGUGCAGAUCCAGCUUAUGUUAUCGAUGCUCAAAAAGUGGACAUCUCUACUUCCAUCUGUUUAUGCAGAGAGCUGAAUAAAAGCCUUCAUCUGAAAAGCAUCUCUCCACCGACACACACAGAAUUUAAAUACAAGUCCUCAUCGUCAUCUCUCCUCGUCCUCCUCCUCUUC